rnacentral:rRNA from 1 species
CCGGGUUGAUCCUGCCGGACCCCGACUGUUAUCAGGGGGGGACUAAGCCAUGCGAGUCACGGUAGCAAUACGUGGCAUACGGCUCAGUAACAAGUAGUCAACAUGCCCAGGGGACGAGGAUAACCUCGGGAAACUGAGGAUAAACCUCGAUAGGCCAUGAUUUCGGGAAUGAUUCUUGGCUCAAACCUAUAUGGCCCCUGGAUUGGACUGCGGCCGAUCAGGCUGUUGGUGAGGUAAUGGCCCACCAAACCUAUUACCGGUACGGGCUCUGAGAGGAGGAGCCCGGAGAUGGGCACUGAGACAAGGGCCCAGGCCCUAUGGGGCGCAGCAGGCGUGAAACCUCUGCAAUAGGCGAAAGCUUGACAGGGUUACUCUGAGUGAUUUCCGCUAAGGGAAUCUUUUGGCACCUCUAAAAAUGGUGCAGAAUAAGGGGUGGGCAAGUCUGGUGUCAGCCGCCGCGGUAAUACCAGCACCCCGAGUGGUCGGGACGAUUAUUGGGCCUAAAGCAUCCGUAGCCGGUCCUGCAAGUCUUCCGUUAAAUCCAGCUGCUCAACAGAUGGGCUGCGGGAGAUACUACAGGGCUAGGAGGCGGGAGAGGCAAGCGGUACUUUAUGGGUAGGGGUAAAAUCCGCUGAUCCAUAGAAGACCACCAGUGGCGAAGGCGGCUUGCCAGAACGCGCUCGACGGUGAGGGAUGAAAGCUGGGGGAGCAAACCGGAUUAGAUACCCGGGUAGUCCCAGCUGUAAACGAUGCAGACUCGGUGAUGGGUUGGCCUCGCGCCUGCCCAGUGCCGCAGGGAAGCCGUUAAGUCUGCCGCCUGGGGAUUACGGUCGCAAGACUGAAACUUAAAGGAAUAAGCGGGGGAGCA